rnacentral:rRNA from 1 species
AUUGAACGCUGGCGGCAGGCCUAACACAUGCAAGUCGAACGAGUGGCGGACGGGUGAGUAAUGUCUGAGAAACUGCCUGAUGGAGGGGGAUAACUACUGGAAACGGUAGCUAAUACCGCAUACCAUCAGAUGUGCCCAGAUGGGAUUAGCUAGUUGGUGGGGUAACGGCUCACCAAGGCGACGAUCCCUAGCUGGUCUGAGAGGAUGACCAGCCGGACUGGAACUGAGACACGGUCCAGACUCCAACGGGAGGCAGCAGUGGGGAAUAUCGCAAGAUGGGGGAAAGCCUGAUACAGGAAUGCCGCGUGCAUGAAGAAGGCCUUCGGGUUGUAAGGUACUCGCAGCAGGGAGGCGUUACCCGCAGAAGAAGCACCGGCUAACUCCGUGCCAGCCGCCGCGGUAAUUC